rnacentral:rRNA from 1 species
UAGUCCAUGCCGUAAACGUUGGGCACUAGGUGUGGGGGACAUUCCACGUUUUCCGCGCCGUAGCUAACGCAUUAAGUGCCCCGCCUGGGGAGUACGGCCGCAAGGCUAAAACUCAAAGGAAUUGACGGGGGCCCGCACAAGCGGCGGAGCAUGCGGAUUAAUUCGAUGCAACGCGAAGAACCUUACCAAGGCUUGACAUGUGCCAGACCGCUCCAGAGAUGGGGUUUCCCUUCGGGGCUGGUUCACAGGUGGUGCAUGGUUGUCGUCAGCUCGUGUCGUGAGAUGUUGGGUUAAGUCCCGCAACGAGCGCAACCCUCGUUCCAUGUUGCCAGCACGUAGUGGUGGGGACUCAUGGGAGACUGCCGGGGUCAACUCGGAGGAAGGUGGGGAUGACGUCAAAUCAUCAUGCCCCUUAUGUCUUGGGCUUCACGCAUGCUACAAUGGCCGGUACAAUGGGUUGCGAUACUGUGAGGUGGAGCUAAUCCCUAAAAGCCGGUCUCAGUUCGGAUUGGGGUCUGCAACUCGACCCCAUGAAGUCGGAGUCGCUAGUAAUCGCAGAUCAGCAACGUGCGGNAAAU